AGAACUGGCCAAUCAAAUUAUCCAUUGAUGAUGUCAUUGAAACUUUUCUGUUUUUGCGCGCUAGGCCUGUGUGUGAUGUGCGGUGUGUGGGUGCUAGUACACGAAGCAAUUUCCGUCUCCUUGCUCUAAACUCAAAUACCAAAGAUGGACCAUAGUGAAAAAUCCUUAUAGAAGUUGUGCAGAGAUUCAAAAUAUUGUAUGAAAGAAGGGCUGCCAACUACAAAAAUAAGAGAACUAUGAAAAAAAAUGCUCUAGAAAAAGUGGCGGACGAGUUGAACUACAUGAAGGUAAAAUGCAGGGGAGAGGCAGCCUGGACGGGAGAUCUUGUAGAACGGGCAUAUAAAAAUGUGCGUACUCGCUUUUCGAGAUACCUUAAAGAUU